AAUGAACGCUGGCGGCAGGCCUAACACAUGCAAGUCGAGCGAGCAUUUCGGUGCUAGCGGCGGACGGGUGAGUAACGCGUGGGAACGUGCCCUUUUCUGCGGAAUAGUCCUGGGAAACUGGGGGUAAUACCGCAUACGCCCUUUUUGGGAAAGAUUUAUCGGAGAAGGAUCGGCCCGCGUUGGAUUAGGUAGUUGGUGGGGUAAUGGCCCACCAAGCCGACGAUCCAUAGCUGGUUUGAGAGGAUGAUCAGCCACACUGGGACUGAGACACGGCCCAGACUCCUACGGGAGGCAGCAGUGGGGAAUCUUAGACAAUGGGGGCAACCCUGAUCUAGCCAUGCCGCGUGAGUGAUGAAGGCCUUAGGGUUGUAAAGCUCUUUCAGCUGGGAAGAUAAUGACGGUACCAGCAGAAGAAGCCCCGGCUAACUCCGUG
rnacentral:rRNA from 1 species